rnacentral:rRNA from 1 species
ACGUGAUCUGAGUUCAGACCGGAGUAAUCCAGGUCAGUUUCUAUCUAUAAAGAGGCUUCUUCAGUACGAAAGGACCAAGAAGACACGGUCUAUGCCUUAACAAACCGUAUUUAUAAAAUUAUGCGUAAAACUUAAUAACCUAAUAAACUUACAUUCAACUCAAGAUCAGAGUA